rnacentral:rRNA from 1 species
UGGGGAAUCUUCCGCAAUGGACGAAAGUCUGACGGAGCAACGCCGCGUGAGUGAAGACGGCCUUCGGGUUGUAAAGCUCUGUGAUCCGGGACGAAAGAGCCUGAGGUGAAUAGCCUAAGGAAGUGACGGUACCGGAAAAGCAAGCCACGGCUAACUACGUGCCAGCAGCCGCGGUAAUACGUAGGUGGCAAGCGAUGUCCGGAAUCAUUGGGCGUAAAGCGCGCGCAGGCGGCUUCCUAAGUCCAUCUUAAAAGUGCGGGGCUUAACCCCGUGAUGGGAUGGAAAGUGGGAAGCUGGAGUAUCGGAGAGGAAAGUGGAAUUCCUAGUGUAGCGGUGAAAUGCGUAGAGAUUAGGAAGAACACAGGUGGCGAAGGCGACUUUCUGAACGAAAACUGACGCUGAGGCGCGAAAGCGUGGGGAGCAAACAGG